GAUGAACGCUGGCGGCGUGCCUAAUACAUGCAAGUCGAGCGAACGGACGAGAAGCUUGCUUCUCUGAUGUUAGCGGCGGACGGGUGAGUAACACGUGGAUAACCUACCUAUAAGACUGGGAUAACUUCGGGAAACCGGAGCUAAUACCGGAUAAUAUUUUGAACCGCAUGGUUCAAAAGUGAAAGACGGUCUUGCUGUCACUUAUAGAUGGAUCCGCGCUGCAUUAGCUAGUUGGUAAGGUAACGGCUUACCAAGGCAACGAUGCAUAGCCGACCUGAGAGGGUGAUCGGCCACACUGGAACUGAGACACGGUCCAGACUCCUACGGGAGGCAGCAGUAGGGAAUCUUCCGCAAGGGGCGAAAGCCUGACGGAGAAACGCCGCGUGAGUGAUGAAGGUCUUCGGAUCGUAAAACUCUGUUAUUAGGGAAGAACAUAUGUGUAAGUAACUGUGCACAUCUUGACGGUACCUAAUCAGAAAGCCACGGCUAACUACGUG
rnacentral:rRNA from 1 species